rnacentral:tRNA from 1 species
GGGCCGGUGGCGAAAUGGCUUAACGCAGGAGGCUUUUAACCUCCCAUCGCGGGUUCGAUUCCUGCUCGGCCCA